rnacentral:rRNA from 1 species
CCUACGGGAGGCAGCAGUGAGGAAUAUUGGUCAAUGGACGAGAGUCUGAACCAGCCAAGUAGCGUGAAGGAUGACUGCCCUAUGGGUUGUAAACUUCUUUUAUAUGGGAAUAAAAUGUUCCACGUGUGGGAUUUUGUAUGUACCAUAUGAAUAAGGAUCGGCUAACUCCGUGCCAGCAGCCGCGGUAAUACGGAGGAUCCGAGCGUUAUCCGGAUUUAUUGGGUUUAAAGGGAGCGUAGGGGGAUUGUUAAGUCAGUUGUGAAAGUUUGCGGCUCAACCGUAAAAUUGCAGUUGAAACUGGCAGUCUUGAGUACAGUAGAGGUGGGCGGAAUUCGUGGUGUAGCGGUGAAAUGCUUAGAUAUCACGAAGAACUCCGAUUGCGAAGGCAGUUCACUGGACUGCAACUGACACUGAGGCUCGAAAGUGUGGGUAUCAAACAGGAUUAGAUACCCCGUC